UACAAUCCCAUCUUAUUAUAUAGGUAGACAGGCAUGGUCAUACAGUUAGCAAAGAAAAUAGUCUGGUGCAAUUUGUUGACUAUUUGUUAAUGAAAAUCUAUGCAGAAGUUGUUGAAUGAUGUAAUGCACAAAGAGAACUGCAAAAAUAUGAUUAUCUGCUCUGGCAUUGGAAUUUCUUUAGAUUGAUGAUCAUGACAGUGAUAUCAUCCAAACUUUCUCUGUUCACAGCAAGAUGAAUCUUCAUUUUCUGUUGCUUGAUCAAUGAAAACCUCUGUAACUUUGAUGAUGGACUCAGGGAAAUCCUGCGUGCCUUGGAUAGAGGAAUUGCAUUGUCACAAUCAGACUCCCCAUCGUCUUCCUUCCAAAGAACAUUUGAUCUCUGCUUGUUUGCAGCCAAACAGCUGCGUGUUGCAGUAUCAACAGCUUCCUGACAAC